AAAUAUAGAACAUCUGUGUGUGACAGUACUGACAGUUGCCAUUUAUUAUUCUCGUUUUGCACUCCUGGAUAGCCUUCAAAAAAUUGUCUACUAGGUUGUAAGGAUCCAUCUUGUGUAAAUAUGAAGCCACUUUCUUGUUGAAAUC